ncrna:unclassified sequences RAGATH-18 RNA
CCUGUGGAGCGUCGAAAAAAACGCGAGUAGCCUUGGCAAAAGCGGACGCGUUGAAGCAGGAA